UUACGGGAUGCUCCAGUGGGGAAUAUUGGACAAUGGGGGAAACCCUGAUCCAGCAAUGCCGCGUGUGUGAAGAAGGCCUGCGGGUUGUAAAGCACUUUCGGUUGGGAGGACUGCUUCUAGCACUAAUAUUGUUGGAAGUUGACGUUACCUUCAGAAGAAGCACCGGCUAACUCCGUGCCAGCAGCCGCGGUAAUACGGAGGGUGCAGGCGUUAAUCGGAAUUACUGGGCGUAAAGCGCGCGUAGGCGGCUAGAUCAGUCGGGUGUGAAAGCCCCGGGCUUAACCUGGGAACUGCAUCCGAUACUGUCUAGCUUGAGUACAGGAGAGGAGAGUGGAAUUCCACAUGUAGCGGUGAAAUGCGUAGAUAUGUGGAGGAACACCAAUGGCGAAGGCAGCUCUCUGGCCUGAUACUGACGCUGAGGUGCGAAAGCGUGGGGAGCAAACAGGAUUAGAUACCCGCGUAGUC
rnacentral:rRNA from 1 species